rnacentral:rRNA from 1 species
GCCCUUAGAGUUUGAUCCUGGCUCAGGACGAACGCUGGCGGCGUGCUUAACACAUGCAAGUCGAACGGGCCUUAACGAAUAGAUUACUAUGAGCUAAGGUUAGUGGCGGACGGGUGAGUAACACGUGGAUAACCUACCUGACACAUCGGGAUAACACCGUGAAAACAGUGCUAAUACCGGAUACGUUCUUUAGGGCGCAUGGUCUAAAGAAGAAAGGGGGAACCCGGUGACAGAUGGGUCCGCGUCCCAUUAGCUAGUUGGAGGUGUAAAGGACCCCCAAGGCGACGAUGGGUAGCCGGCCUGAGAGGGUGGACGGCCACACUGGAACUGAGACACGGUCCAGACUCCUACGGGAGGCAGCAGUGGGGAAUCUUCCGCAAUGGGCGCAAGCCUGACGGAGCAACGCCGCGUGAGUGAUGAAGGCUUUCGGGUUGUAAAACUCUGUCUUCAGGGAAGAAACAAAUGACGGUACCUGAGGAGGAAGCCCCGGCUAACUACGUGCCAGCAGCCGCGGUAAAACGUAGGGGGCGAGCGUUGUCCGGAAUUACUGGGCGUAAAGGGCGCGUAGGCGGUUUUUCAAGUCAGGGGUGAAAACUCUGGGCUCAACUCAGAGCCUGCCUCUGAAACUGGAAGACUUGAGGGCAGGAGAGGGGAGUGGAAUUCCCAGUGUAGCGGUGAAAUGCGUAGAUAUUGGGAGGAACACCAGUGGCGAAGGCGACUCUCUGGCCUAACCCUGACGCUGAGGCGCGAAAGCGUGGGGAGCAAACGGGAUUAGAUACCCCGGUAGUCCUGGCCGUAAA